rnacentral:rRNA from 1 species
GUCCACGCUGUAAACGGUGAAUACUGGGUGUGGGAGGUGUAAUGCCUUCUGUGCCGAAGCUAACGCGUUAAGUAUUCCGCCUGGGGAGUACGGCCGCAAGGUUGAAACUCAAAGGAAUUGACGGGGCCCGCACAAGCGGUGGAGCAUGUGGUUUAAUUCGACGCAACGCGAAAAACCUUACCUGGGUUUGACAUGGAGAGAACCCUGAUGAAAAGUCGGGGGUGUCCCGUAAGGGAAGCUCUCACACAGGUGCUGCAUGGCUGUCGU